GAUAGUCUUUCGCCCCAUGCGCAGAUUUGACGAUCGAUUUGCACGUCAGAACCGCUGCGAGCCUCCACCAGAGUUUCCUCUGGCUUCACCCUAUCCACGCAUAGUUCACCAUCUUUCGGGUCCGAACAGUUAUGCUCUUACUCAAAUCCAUCCGAAGACAUCAGGAUCGGUCGAUGAUGCACCCGUAAGGGCUCUCACCUCCGUUCACUUUCAUUACGCUUGAGGGUUUAACACCCAAAAACUCGCAUAAAUGUUCGACUCCUUGGUCCGUGUUUCAAGACGGGUGGCUGAUGACCAUUAUGCCAGCAUCCUAGCCGAAGCGCGGUCCUCAGUCCCAGCGGCGGUAUUACACAGCAGGCUAUAACACUCCCGGGGGAGUCACGUUCCUGAAGUCUUUAUCCCGCCGCCGAAACUGAUGCUGGCCUCAACCAAGCGGAGUGCACCGGUGAGAACACCGGAUGAUCCGCAAGGCAAAGGUCUGGUCACAAGCCCUUCCCUUUCAACAAUUUCACGUACUAUUUAACCCUCUUUUCAAAGUGCUUUUCAUCUUUCGAUCACUCUACUUGUGCGCUAUCGGUCUCUGGCCGGUAUUUAGCUUUAGAAGAAAUUUACCUCCCAUUUAGAGCAGCAUUCCCAAACUACUCGACUCGUCGAAGGAGAUUUACAGAGGCUCGGCAUCCAACCGUACGGGGCUCUCACCCUCUAAGGCGUCCUGUUCCAAGGAACUCGGAAGGUACCUAACCAAAAUCAUCCUCUACAAAUUACAACUCGGACCCGAGGGCCAGAUUUCAAAUUUGAGCUGUUGCCGCUUCACUCGCCGUUACUAGGGCAU
rnacentral:rRNA from 1 species